UUGGAGGAUUGGUCCUUCAAACAACCCUAGAACCAGCAUGCAUGUCUUCCUGAAAAGUGUCAUCAGUUGGGAGUGACAUUGAAUCACUGCCUAUUUCAAGGAAAACAAAAGCUGCCAUCUCUCUCCAAUCAGAAAGUGAGAGGAUGAGGAGAUCUCUCCCCAGCCUCCCAGUCCCCCAGUCCCCCAUUUCUUGUUGCUGUUCUGAGAUUCCAGAGGUGGAUACACUGCAGGGAAAAUUGUUCAAGGCUGCCUCAGACUUCUAUCAAGCCUCCUGCCUCAGCUCCUGAGCACUGGGAUUACAGCCUAGGAUGCCUUCAAAGGAACAAAGCUUGCUUCCUGCACGCUGUCUCCUCUACCCUUGGAAGGCGAAUGUCCUUGAUGGCAAAGUGACUUUAUAGGAGAGGUCCCCAGGCCUUCUGUGGUCAUUCCAGAUUGGACCAGGGGCUUUUGGAAUCACCAAAGAGUAGGUAUGAGGAGGAAGGGCAGAGUGGCAAGAGGAGGGGACUUAAGAGAGAGUAUUUCACUGUGAACUGAUCUUUACAGUAAAGAUUUCCUGCAUGGUUUCAAGGUAAACAACACUCCACCUUUCUCUAGUGCAUCUUUUACAGGGUUGGUGGGCUUAGGAGACAGUUCCCGCGCCUUCCCUCUCCCUAAACUAAGC